AGAACGAACGCUGGCGGCAUGCCUAAUACAUGCAAGUCGAACGAACUCUUCGGAGUUAGUGGCGCACGGGUGCGUAACGCGUGGGAAUCUGCCCCUUGGUUCGGAAUAACAGUUGGAAACGACUGCUAAUACCGGAUGAUGACGAAAGUCCAAAGAUUUAUCGCCAAGGGAUGAGCCCGCGUAGGAUUAGCUAGUUGGUGAGGUAAAGGCUCACCAAGGCAACGAUCCUUAGCUGGUCUGAGAGGAUGAUCAGCCACACUGGGACUGGAGACACGGCCCAGACUCCUACGGGGAGCAGCAGUAGGGAAUAUUGGACAAUGGG
rnacentral:rRNA from 1 species